rnacentral:rRNA from 1 species
GACGAACGCUGGCGGCGUGCUUAACACAUGCAAGUCGAACGGAAAGACCCUGCUUUUGUGGGGUGCUCGAGUGGCGAACGGGUGAGUAACACGUGAGUAACCUGCCCUUGACUUUGGGAUAACUUCAGGAAACUGGGGCUAAUACCGGAUAGGAGCUCCUGCUGCAUGGUGGGGGUUGGAAAGUUUCGGCGGUUGGGGAUGGACUCGCGGCUUAUCAGCUUGUUGGUGGGGUAGUGGCUUACCAAGGCUUUGACGGGUAGCCGGCCUGAGAGGGUGACCGGCCACAUUGGGACUGAGAUACGGCCCAGACUCCUACGGGAGGCAGCAGUGGGGAAUAUUGCACAAUGGGCGGAAGCCUGAUGCAGCAACGCCGCGUGCGGGACGACGGCCUUCGGGUUGUAAACCGCUUUCGCCUGUGACGAAGCGUGAGUGACGGUAAUGGGUAAAGAAGCACCGGCUAACUACGUG